rnacentral:lncRNA from 1 species
GCGGGGUCCGGCGGGUGACAUGGGGGCGGCCUGACGCACCCGGAGCCGCCGAGCGCUCUCUCUCGAGCCGCGGGCCCUCCUCGGCGGCAGCGGCUGCAGGCGCCUGGCCCGGCGCGCUGUGCCCGGGGCGCCCGCGGAGCCUCCGCCGCGCUCUAUGCGCCUCUGCGGGAGCCGCGGGCCCGGGCCAUGGCCACUCCUGAAGCUCUUUGACUUUAUGAGGUU